UGUAUUGUCUGGGAACGAGCUGGCUCCUCCCCCUUCUGCUGCUCUGCUGUGGAGAUAGUGCUGGUGCCAACUUCUGUCUCCUGGUGAUAAGACAGGGCAGACAAGAAAACUGAAGCUACUUCAUGUUUGGUUCUUUCAAGGUGUGCAGGAGAUGCAAACAAUGUGAAAACCCAGGCAGUCCCUCGCAUAAGGAAGAAUGGAGCAGUAGUGAUUGUGCUGCUGGUGAAGGGCUCGAUGAGUUCUAGAUCACAUGGAUCAUUGGACAAAGGCUAUAGUGAAAAACCACCUGAAGUGACGGUGCCUGAUGUGUUUCACUACCAAUAAGCUUCCUUAGGGCCCAGGAGGAACCUGAAUGGCAAUGAAAGGACAACACAUCUGGUUGUGGGUGCUAGUGGAGACAGAAGAAGAAAAAAAUGCCAGCAAUUUUGAUCCUUAAAGUAAUGGGACACUGUUUACUACAUAAUCCCAGAAAGUGUCUGUUUCAAAAGUAUUUAAUGUAAGUGCAAUACUUUAAUUAUUUAAGCAAUACAUGGUUUUACAAUAUGGUCGCUGCCCCUGUCUUUGCUGCUAGAUUACUGCUUGGGAGAUCUGGAAAUUUGUGUACAUGUAAAUGUAAAUUAUAAAAACCAGUGGUUUGUAAGUAGGCAUUCUGCUCACAUAAGGAUUGGUGGAAUCAUCCUAAUACCACUAUCCUUUUAAUCUGAAAACUAUACUACGUGACAACUGGCUUUGAAUAGUUUAAAGGGCAACACCACUUUGAAUGAAAGAUUUUUUUCAAAUUAAUCAAUUUCGACAUUUAAGUGGAGCUUUUAAAGUACUACACUAUACAAUUUGCCUAUUGUUGUUUAUCUAUCCUCAGCCUUUGGUGCUGAUCAUUUGGAUUAUUUGGUUUUUGUUUGGGGGACUGUAAGAAGAUUGUCAAGAAAAGAAAAGUUUUUACAGUCUCUUAAUUAUUAUUGUUCUUUGCCUUUGUGGACACACACAUUUUAUCAUGUAGUAAAGUUUACCUGUAAUAAAGAUGCUCCGGUACUAAA